rnacentral:rRNA from 1 species
UACGUAGGGUGCAAGCGUUAAUCGGAAUUACUGGGCGUAAAGCGUGCGCAGGCGGUUAUGUAAGACAGAUGUGAAAUCCCCGGGCUCAACCUGGGACCUGCAUUUGUGACUGGCGGGCUAGAGUAUGGCAGAGGGGGGUAGAAUUCCACGUGUAGCAGUGAAAUGCGUAGAGAUGUGGAGGAAUACCGAUGGCGAAGGCAGCCCCCUGGGCCAAUACUGACGCUCAUGCACGAAAGCGUGGGGAGCAAACAGG